rnacentral:rRNA from 1 species
CGCAUCUGUGCAUGCAGCAUAUCAAUAAGCGGAGGAAAAGAAACUAACAAGGAUUCCCCUAGUAACGGCGAGUGAAGCGGGAAGAGCUCAAAUUUGAAAUCUUAAAGGGUUUCCCUUUACGAAUUGUAGUUUAAAGAAGUGUUUUCUGUUGAGGUUUUGGUAAAAGUUCUUUGGAAUAGGACAUCAUAGAGGGUGAGAAUCCCGUAUUUGACCUUUACUUUCAACUUUGUGAUACACUUUCAAAGAGUCGGAUUGUUUGGGAAUGCAGUCCAAAAUGGGUGGUAAAUUUCAUCUAAAGCUAAAUAUUGGCGAGAGACCGAUAGCGAACAAGUACCGUGAGGGAAAGAUGAAAAGAACUUUGAAAAGAGAGUUAAACAGUACGUGAAAUUGUCAAAAGGGAAGCGUUUGACACCAGUGUUGUUUUUCUGAAAAAUCAAUUAAAGAACUGUUUAUGCUAAGCUGUUUAGACUUUAUCAGCUAUCUGUUUAGUUUUGAGCUUUUCUUUAAUGCACUUUUCAGUUAACAAGUCAACAUCAAUUUCUUUUGCUGUAAAAAAGCUUGAGGAAGGUGGCUUGAGAUUCGUCUUAAGUGUUUAUAGCCUCUUGCCUAUGCAGUCGGAGAGAUUGAGGUCUGCAGCGUAGAUCCUUCGGGGCUGAAUGCAUUUGUGCUAAGUUAUAGCAUUUUAUAGACAACUUGUUGACUAUGAUUUGUCUUGUAGCUUACUCGCUUAUGUUAUUUUACCUACGCUUAGGAUGUUGAAUCUGUGCGAGACUAC